CCCCGGGCCGUCAGACACCUGCCCUUCCCUCCCCAGUGGUGCCGUGUCCAGACAGGAUCACACUCAAACGGAGCACAAUGAUCGGUAGGAAGAAGAGAUCCCUGAGAGGCACAUUAUAAGGAGUGGACUCAGAGGUGGUACAGUUACCAGCUUUUGCAAAAGUCACAGAAGCAACCCCAGAAGAUGACGUGGCAGCCACUCUUCGAGCACACAGGCUUGUGUGGUUGUCAUGGGGAAGGCUUUUCAGCUGAAGUCACAACACUGCAGCUCAGCCUGCCACCACUGAGAAAAUGCUUUUCAUCUAUGUGCAUGGAUAAUUCGCCUAAGUGACAGAUUUUUCCUUGGAGAGGCACUGAACUGAGCUGGUUUACACAGGCAAUUACAGCUCAUUCCACACACACAAAAAAAAAACUGGGAAGGAAAGGAGUGGGGUGAUGGUAGCUAGACAAUGCCAAGGUGUCUGCUAGCCUGCUGAGUGGGACGUCUCCUCCAGGUCUUUCUAACUUUGUAAGAACAUCACUUGUGGACAGAAAGAAAACAAGGCUUCAUCUUUACCACCUGAUAGUUCUUUAAAACACACACACACACACACACACACACACACACACACACCCCUUGGCAAAUGAGAAAUAAAAAACCAACCCAAACCAAUAAAUGGUCAAGUCUACUCUAGGAAGUAACUUAUUAUAUAUCCCAACUCAACUAUCUUUACAUAGCCUUAUAGGCAAAGCAAGAUGUGAAAUACAGUUUGAAUAUGUUUACUGAUUAGGCUUCCCUAUCUCAUUCAAUAACACAAGUCAGAAAAGACAAGCCAAAGUGAGGGGUAAAAAGUCAGGCACACAGCACGAUGAACUAGGUUCCGCGCAUAAAGUAUUUCGAGAGAGAAUCUCAUCAGAAGACAGACAGCUCUUGGGGAAGUGAUAUGGGAACAUGUCUGAAGAGAACACCCCAGAAUAAAUGAAGUACUUAUUGUUGAAAAAUGAGCUCAGAUCUCAACCAAUCCCAAACUUCAGAAUUUACUGCACCGUUCAGGACUUUCCUUCCACGUUUCUUGUCUCCUGUUUCAUUGCACAACGAGGGAUUCUCCAUACUUUCUAUGAAAUACAACACGGCGAUUUUUGCAGUAAUAAACUCCACACAUGCAUGACAAAUCGAAGCAUGCAAAAUGUUUAACAUCCCAGUUCACAGAUACUUUAGGGACAAAAUCCGAUUAUGAAUUAUAUGCCACAAUAAAUAGGGCUCAAUGUUUCAUAAAGCAAUUUAUGGUUCAUAAAAAUGACAAAAUGUACCUGUCAGACAGAGCGUGGAGGGCCGU